CCUACGGGUGGCAGCAGUGGGGGAUAUUGCACAAUGGGGGAAACCCUGAUGCAGCGACGCCGCGUGGGUGAAGAAGCGCCUCGGCGCGUAAAGCCCUGUCAGCAGGGAAGAAAAUGACGGUACCUGAAGAAGAAGCCCCGGCUAACUACGUGCCAUCAGCCGCGGUAAUACGGAGGGGGCAAGCGUUCACCGGAUUUACUGGGUGUAAAGGGGGCGCAGACGGCGAUGCAAGCCAGGAGGGAAAGCCCGGGGCCCAACCCCGGGACUGCUCUUGGAAAUGCGUGGCUAGAGUGCAGGAGGGGCAGGCGGAAUUCCUGGUGUAGCGGUGAAAUGCGUAGAUAUCAGGAGGAACACCGGUGGCGAAGGCGGCCUGCUGGACUGCAACUGACGUUGAGGCCCGAAAGCGUGGGGAGCAAACAGGAUUAGAUACCCGUGUAGUC
rnacentral:rRNA from 1 species